UGGAGCAAAACCCACCCUUCCCAGAGGUGGUGCUGGGAAGGGGCCGGGCCCUUCCGCCUCUCCGGUUUCGGGGGGCCUCCUCUGCCUCUCCCGCCCCUUCCCUCCGCCGACUGGGAGGAAGUGCCGGGGCGCAUGGCCACAGAGCAGGGGCUGACUCAGCAGUGGACACGAGCCCAAGGCUCAGACCGUGCUCAGAGCUGCAGGCAAGGGGCCAUCGGCAGCGACGGCAUCGCUCGCCCGGUGGGCGGGAAGGAUGGGGCUUGUGCUGCUCUCCCCUGGCACAGCACCAGCGUGGGCUGCCCCACCAAGCAAGCCCAGAGCAUCCUGGGGGGAAAUGCUGGUGAGUACCUCCAUUGCAAGGAUGUGCACAGGCCAGACAUUGGGAGCUGCCCAACUCCACCAGAGCCAGGCCAGCAGGGAUGGCCAGGAUGAUGGUGCGUUGCUGGUCUCCUGCUCCGGCUGCUCAUUCCACACCCAGGAGCCUUGGCCUGCCCUUCCAGGCAGCUGCACUUAGUCCCUGUGUGGCCAUGCUUUGGAUGGGUUUCAUUACUCCUGCAGCACUGCUACAGGACUACACUGACCUUGUCACCCUCAAUUCUGGAUUUCAUUGCACCUCCAGCCCCAGUACUGAGGAGGGAAAGUGAUUCAAGCACUUACUCUGACCCCCAGGCUGCUAUCAGGGCACACACUGGGCACCUCUGAGAGAGGUUUUUAUGACUGCAGACACUCCUUACUCUACGUGAUCCUUAAUUUCUUUGUCCUCUGCUUCCCACACAAACCACACUGCCAGCAUGCAAGAGUGUUGGGAUGGAAUACUUUAUUCACGUGAACACUCAGAUCCUGGCCCUUCCUGCCUGCUGCAGCUGCUCCCAUCUUCUUGACAGCGUGAACAAGGAAGGAUUUCUUCACCAGCUUGCUUAACCCCCCCCAGCAUCAUCAGACCCCACAAACAAGUACAGACAGUUUGGCUUUGUCUGGACAGGAGCAGAAGGCGGAGGGGCAGGGAGUGCUGCGGGGCUGGCAGAGCAGGGAGAAGGGCUCCAGCCCACAGCUUGCGUAUGCACUGCAGCCAUGAAACCUUCCUGCAGCCCCACUCUCACCACCAAACAUGCCAGUACUCUCCCAGCCUUGGUGGUUCCUCCUGCUGCCAGAAGCACCUGGGAUUGGUAAAGGAUGGGUG